rnacentral:rRNA from 1 species
UACGUAGGGUGCGAGCGUUAAUCGGAAUUACUGGGCGUAAAGCGUGCGCAGGCGGUUUUGCAAGCCGGAUGUGAAAUCCCCGGGCUCAACCUGGGAAUGGCAUUUGGGACUGCAAGGCUGGAGUGUGGCAGAGGAGACUGGAAUUCCUGGUGUAGCAGUGAAAUGCGUAGAUAUCAGGAGGAAUACCGAUGGCGAAGGCAGGUCUCUGGGCUGACACUGACGCUCAUGCACGAAAGCGCGGGGAGCAAACAGG